AGCUAGUUGGUGAGGUAAGGGCUCACCAAGGCGACGAUCCCUAGCUGGUCUGAGAGGAUGAUCAGCCACACUGGAACUGAGACACGGUCCAGACUCCUACGGGAGGCAGCAGUGGGGAAUAUUGCACAAUGGGCGCAAGCCUGAUGCAGCCAUGCCGCGUGUGUGAAGAAGGCCUUCGGGUUGUAAAGCACUUUCAGUCGUGAGGAAGGUAGUGUAGUUAAUAGCUGCAUUAUUUGACGUUAGCGACAGAAGAAGCACCGGCUAACUCCGUGCCAGCAGCCGCGGUAAUACGGAGGGUGCGAGCGUUAAUCGGAAUUACUGGGCGUAAAGCGCAUGCAGGUGGUUUGUUAAGUCAGAUGUGAAAGCCCGGGGCUCAACCUCGGAAUAGCAUUUGAAACUGGCAGACUAGAGUACUGUAGAGGGGGGUAGAAUUUCAGGUGUAGCGGUGAAAUGCGUAGAGAUCUGAAGGAAUACCGGUGGCGAAGGCGGCCCCCUGGACAGAUACUGACACUCAGAUGCGAAAGCGUGGGGAGCAAACAGGAUUAGAUACCCUGGUAGUCCACGCCGUAAACGAUGUCUACUUGGAGGUUGUGGCCUUGAGCCGUGGCUUUCGGAGCUAACGCGUUAAGUAGACCGCCUGGGGAGUACGGUCGCAAGAUUAAAACUCAAAUGAAUUGACGGGGGCCCGCACAAGCGGUGGAGCAUGUGGUUUAAUUCGAUGCAACGCGAAGAACCUUACCUACUCUUGACAUCCAGAGAACUUUCCAGAGAUGGAUUGGUGCCUUCGGGAACUCUGAGACAGGUGCU
rnacentral:rRNA from 1 species